AAAACUAUAGGUUUAGGAAACAUCUCUAUAGUUCAUUACUGAGGAAGUUUCUCGGUGUGUAAAGCACCGUGAGCAGGAGGUGCAACAUUCUCUCCUGAGUGUGAAGCUGGUUCUCCGUGUUGUGUCACUGCAACAGCCAUUUGCCAUUAAUGAUUGUUCUUCCCUUCCUGAGAAAUAGGGAGAGGAUGUAGUCUGAGUGGU
rnacentral:snoRNA from 1 species